UGAGUAUUACCUGCCCACUGAUUUUUAAAUGGCCGCAGUAUUUUGACUGUGCAAAGGUAGCAUAAUCAUUAGUUUUUUAAUUGAAUGCUGGGAUGAAUGGUUUGACGAGGUGUUUACUUUCUUAAAUUUUUAUUUUGUUGAAUUUAAAUAUUAGGUUAAAAUGCCUGAAUAUUUUUUUGGGACGAGAAGACCCUAUAGAGUUUAAUUUAAUUUCAUAUUUUUUGUGGGUUAAUAUGUUUAGUAUUAUGUAAAUUUUGUUGGGGUGAUGGGAAGAUUAAUAUAACUCUUUUUAUUUUUUUAUAUUUGUUUAUAAAUUUUUGAUCCAUUUUUAGUGAUUAUAAGACUAAAUUACCUUAGGGAUAACAGCGUAAUUCUUUUUGAGAGUUCUUAUUGACAUAGGAUUUUACGACCUCGAUGUUGGAUUAAGGUGAAUUUUUGGUGUAGAUGCUGAAUUUGAUUAGGUCUGUUCGACCUUUAAAACCUUACGUGAUCUGAUUCAGACCGG
rnacentral:rRNA from 1 species